ACACGUAGGGGGCGAGCGUUGUUCGGAAUCAUUGGGCGUAAAGGGCGUGCAGGCGGUCCUGCAAGUCCGGCGUGAAAGACCCCGGCCCAACCGGGGGGACGCGCUGGAAACUGUAUGGCGAGAGGCAACGAGGGGAUGCCGGAAUUCCAGGUGGAGGGGUGAAAUCUGUAGAUAUCUGGAAGAACACCGAUGGCGAAGGCAGGCAUCUGGCGACUGACUGACGCUGAGGCGCGAAGGUGCGGGGAGCAAACAGGUUUAGAUACCCUGGUAGUCCGCACAGUAAACGAUGUGCACCAGGUGGCGGGCAGCAGUGCUCGGUACCGAAGCAAACGCAUUAAGUGCACCGCCUGGGGAGUAUGCCCGCAAGGGUGAAACUCAAAUGAAUUGACGGGG
rnacentral:rRNA from 1 species